UAAACUUUGAAUUCCAAGAUAAGAAAAUAAUAUAGAUCCAUGGAUACUGAAAAAAUGUGAUGCUUGCACUUGAAAUAUUGAUGAUUGAAUUGAUUAUUUAUUCUGUCUUUGGUGUAACUUGAAGACAUUGUUCCUACACAACCUUGGAAACAACCAUAUUAUAUAUAUAUGGCAUCCAGGACUGAGCUUGAUAAGUGUAUUCAUCAGGAUUGCAAGAUAAAGCAAGUACGGAUUACAUACAUUUGAUACCAUAUACGUUGCAUUAGAAAAUGCUAUAAGAAGCA
rnacentral:lncRNA from 1 species